rnacentral:lncRNA from 1 species
GAAUGCAAGUGUCUCCUCCCUCCAAAAAGUCUGAAACCGACAACAUCAAGCGCGUACCCUGCGAGACACCGCCCUUCACUGUCGGAGAACUCAAGAAAGCAAUCCCACCGCACUGUUUCAAACGCUCGAUCCCUCGCUCUUUCUCCUACCUCAUCUGGGACAUCAUCAUAGCCUCCUGCUUCUACUACGUCGCCACCACUUACUUCCCUCUCCUCCCUCACCCUCUCUCCUACUUCGCCUGGCCUCUCUACUGGGCCUGCCAGGGCUGCGUCCUAACCGGCGUCUGGGUCAUAGCCCACGAGUGCGGCCACCACGCCUUCAGCGACUACCAGUGGCUGGACGACACCGUCGGCCUCAUCUUCCACUCCUUCCUCCUCGUCCCUUACUUCUCCUGGAAGUACAGUCAUCGACGCCACCAUUCCAACACUGGCUCCCUCGAGAGAGACGAAGUGUUUGUCCCCAAGAAGAAGUCAGACAUCAAGUGGUACGGCAAGUACCUCAACAACCCUUUGGGACGCACCGUGAUGUUAACGGUUCAGUUCACUCUCGGCUGGCCUUUGUACUUAGCCUUCAACGUCUCGGGGAGACCUUACGACGGCGGCUUCGCUUGCCAUUUCCACCCCAACGCUCCCAUCUACAACGACCGUGAGCGUCUCCAGAUAUACAUCUCCGACGCUGGCAUCCUCGCCGUCUGCUACGGUCUCUACCGCUACGCUGCUGUCCAAGGAGUUGCCUCGAUGGUCUGCUUCUACGGAGUUCCUCUUCUGAUUGUCAACGGGUUCUUAGUUUUGAUCACUUACUUGCAGCACACGCAUCCUUCCCUGCCUCACUAUGACUCGUCUGAGUGGGAUUGGUUGAGGGGAGCUUUGGCCACCGUUGACAGAGACUACGGAAUCUUGAACAAGGUCUUCCACAAUAUCACGGACACGCACGUGGCGCAUCACCUGUUCUCGACCAUGCCGCAUUAUCAUGCGAUGGAAGCUACGAAGGCGAUAAAGCCGAUACUGGGAGAGUAUUAUCAGUUCGAUGGGACGCCGGUGGUUAAGGCGAUGUGGAGGGAGGCGAAGGAGUGUAUCUAUGUGGAACCGGACAGGCAAGGUGAGAAGAAAGGUGUGUUCUGGUACAACAAUAAGUUAUGAAGCAAAGAAGAAACUGAACCUUUCUCUUCUAUGAUUGUCUUUGUUUAAGAAGCUAUGUUUCUGUUUCAAUAAUCUUAAUUAUCCAUUUUGUUGUGUUUUCUGACAUUUUGGCUAAAAUUAUGUGAUGUUGGAAGUUAGUGUCUAAAAUGUCUUGUGUCUGUAUUGUUCUUCUUCUCAUCGCUGUUAUGUUUGGGAUCGUUGAAAUGUGACUUUCGGACUAGUGAACUCUUGUUCUCGAACUAUCUUAAUGUGGAUCCCUGAACAGUGUAAUGGCUUAGCUUCCUCUGAAACUACUAUUAUGUUCUAGUGAAUCUUGACAUAAAGCAACUUGUCGUUUCAAGACAUACCAAUGCUUUAAGAAAAAUGUUUUACUCACCUGAAGUGAACCAUAAAUCUAAUCUUCGUUACAGUUAAGUUAGUUUGAGUUAUUGCGUUGUUUGGUUGGCAGAUCACCUUUACUACUUAUGUGGUUCAGUCUCUUUGUAAAAAACUCUAUUCUUCUCUUUUAAUUUGUAGAAACCUGUCAACGUAAGCCAAAUUCAUUUCUUCAUCUUUAUUUGCUUUCAGAUUUGUGAGGGAACAAAAGAAAUUAAGACAAAUAAAUCUUUUUUUUUCUCAUUAAUGGCAGAAACAACCAAAGAGAGUGUGACAACAAGAAACAAUUGUAGUGAGGAAAAACCAAAGAAAAAAAUUGUCUGAAACCAACUCGUUGAACAUAUAAAAUAAUACGAAACAAUCUUUCAUCCAACGGCGAGCGUAAUCUUAGAAGCAUUUCCUGUGGACUAUCGAUGGCCCUGCCUCAUCAUACUCAGCUUUUGCUAUCCACAUCUGCAAUACCAACAUUGUGUAUCAUAGUCAGCUUACAAAACGAGUAACAAGCAGAAAAGAUGAUUUACCUGUUGGAAGGUACUAAGUGAUGCUAGAAUGGAUCCUCCAAUCCAAACACUAUACUUCCUCUCCGGUGGAGCAACCACCUUAAUCUUCAUGCUACUCGGAGCCAAAGCAGUGAUCUCCUUACUCAUCCUAUCAGCAAUCCCAGGGAACAUCGUGGUUCCACCACUAAGCACAAUGUUUCCAUACAAAUCUUUCCUAAUAUCGACAUCACACUUCAUGAUCGAAUUGUAAGUUGUCUCGUGAAUACCAGCAGCUUCCAUUCCGACCAAAGACGGCUGGAAAAGAACCUCAGGGCACCUGAACCUCUCCCCUCCAAUAGUGAUCACCUGUCCAUCAGGCAACUCGUAGCUCUUGUCGACCGAUGAGCUAGUGUUCGCCGUCUCCAUCUCUUGCUCGUAGUCAAGUGCUAUGUAAGCGAGCUUCUCUUUCACGUCUCUCACGAUCUCACGCUCUGCUGUGGUGGUGAAUGAGUAACCACGUUCGGUUAAGAUCUUCAUGAGGUAAUCAGUGAGGUCACGACCUGCGAGAUCAAGACGCAGAAUGGCGUGUGGGAGAGCAUAUCCUUCGUAGAUUGGAACAGUGUGACUCACACCAUCUCCAGAAUCCAACACAAUGCCUGAAACAAUGAUUCCACAUCACUAUGAAAGUGUUCUACCUUUAUAAACUGUCUAGAUAAUUAUAAUAUAAUAAUAAUUUAUAAUUUAUAAUAAUUAAUAUUUUUUAGUAUAAAAUCUUAUGAGAAUAAACAAUAUAAAUAUUAUUAUUUGUAAAUCAUGGUAUUUAUUAUAUUAUAUAUUUUUCCAACCACUAAACUCUUAUAAUACAUCAAUACUAUUAAAACUGAAGGGCCUUUUUUGAGGUAUCCUUGGAGUUUUAAAGUAUUUACCAUUCUAUGCCACUGAAUUAUUUUUAAACUAUGAUUUCAAUUAAAUUCUUUUAUUUUUUGUUUUGAAAUCGCAACAAACCAUCUCCUAAUUCCGUGUAUUUUGCAAUCCCACCGCACUGUUUCAAACGCUCGAUCCCUCGCUCUUUCUCCUACCUCAUCUGGGACAUCAUCAUAGCCUCCUGCUUCUACUACGUCGCCACCACUUACUUCCCUCUCCUCCCUCACCCUCUCUCCUACUUCGCCUGGCCUCUCUACUGGGCCUGCCAGGGCUGCGUCCUAACCGGCGUCUGGGUCAUAGCCCACGAGUGCGGCCACCACGCCUUCAGCGACUACCAGUGGCUGGACGACACCGUCGGCCUCAUCUUCCACUCCUUCCUCCUCGUCCCUUACUUCUCCUGGAAGUACAGUCAUCGACGCCACCAUUCCAACACUGGCUCCCUCGAGAGAGACGAAGUGUUUGUCCCCAAGAAGAAGUCAGACAUCAAGUGGUACGGCAAGUACCUCAACAACCCUUUGGGACGCACCGUGAUGUUAACGGUUCAGUUCACUCUCGGCUGGCCUUUGUACUUAGCCUUCAACGUCUCGGGGAGACCUUACGACGGCGGCUUCGCUUGCCAUUUCCACCCCAACGCUCCCAUCUACAACGACCGUGAGCGUCUCCAGAUAUACAUCUCCGACGCUGGCAUCCUCGCCGUCUGCUACGGUCUCUACCGCUACGCUGCUGUCCAAGGAGUUGCCUCGAUGGUCUGCUUUCGGACUGAAAAUGUAAAUCAUCGGUAAUGACUUGCAAAACGUUAGUCUAUCAAUGAGGUAAACUGAAAAUAAAUAAAAGAUCAUAAUAUUUGUUAGAUUAUAAUAAGACUGAAAGAUCUUUGAACAUAUUUUCCUGCUAUCACCGAUGGUCUUCUGUAAAUCCAGAUGUUCAAUUGGAAUCAUAUCGAUGACUUGAAUGAUGGUUUUUUGGUUCUCUUAAACAUCUUUCGGAUGAUCCACUUCGACUUAUGCAAGUUUGACUCUGUAUAAUAAACAACCGGAUUAGGUCAUGGAAAGGUAGAAACCUAAACCAACUUUCUCAUAAUAUAAAGUUUCACUACCCAUGCUUAUGAGAAUCUUGAUUUGCAAGUUGUCGUUGUUAUCCACCAUUUUUCUUUCUUUCAAAGAGCUCACUAUUUUUUUAUGAAUCAAGGUUGUUGACCGACCAGUGUAUGAUCGAAGAAAUUUUCAAAACCCAUCGUUUGACCCAUAAUUUUAGAGUUGAUGAGGUAAAUAAUCUGGACCAAUAAGGUCAGUAACUUAUUUGAGUAAUUCUAAUAUUUAUUGCAAAUCCAACUAUUUUGAUGACUAAUGAUUGGUUUUCAAAAUCACUGACGCCAAUUCCUUCUAUAUUAUUGUCUCUAAGUUUUGUUUCUUUUAUCUCUAUAAACAUUAAAAGUUUUUCUGAUGAUAGAUUCUCAUAUAAUACUUUUUUGUAAAUGUAAUAGUGUAUACACAAUUAAAAAUAUUGCAAUAGCAUACUUAACCAGCGAUAAUAAAAAAAUAUGAUUUUAUAUAAUAAACCAUCAAGUAUUUAAAUUAUUUUUGAAUUAAAUUGUCCAAAAUAAAAAUACACUCAAUCAGACCACAAGACUAAAAUCUAUAUGGUAUAAUUUACAAACAUAGAUAUUUGACACACAUGUUGAAAAAAAAAUAUUUGACACACACAUACAUGUAAUCAUAUACCAAUUAUUUGAAAAUACAUAAUAUUAUAAUUUACAAGUGUUUUGUUUAAUAAAAUAAAAUUUCACAGUUGGAAAAUAGGGGAAGAUUGUUUGGUAGUUACAACAAAUUUCCCUAAUUAUUUGAUCUAAAAUUAAAAAGGUGUGGUACUCCUGUAAAUACUUAGCAAAAUCAAGGGGGUGUAAAAAGAGUUGUUGUUGUAAUUGUAUUGAUGCUAUAAUUGUUGAUUUUUUCUUACGAUUUUGUGAAUAUUAUAAACUUAUUUUACAAGUUUUAUUUCCUAUAAAUAAAAUUACCCGGCUCUUAUGGGGUUGAUUGGUUGUUAAUGUAGCUUAAUAUAUAUUUUUUUGUUUUAAAAAAUUGGCUGUGUGAGUUUUUUUCCUUUGGCUUUAAUUUUUUUUGUUGUCGAUUUAUUUUCAAAACACUUAAUAAAAGCUGUAGAAAAUUUAAUUUUGAAAGCUAACAUAUUUUAGUUUCUAACUUUUUUUCUGUAGCUUUACUUUUUUAAAGUAAAACAUAAUUUCUUUGAAAAAAUUGCUUUAAAAAGAAAAAUGGAUGUCCAAAGUACCUAUAGCCACAAAACCAUAAUGGCUUUAAAUGAAAUUAAGUUUGAUUAUAUAGAUAUCUAUACUAUUUAAUAUCGGGUAUGUUACCAUUUUGGGCUAGAAAGAAAUAUUAUGUUUAAUAAUUAUUAUUGAAAAAGUGUAUAUACUGCAAAAUGUUUUUCACAGUAUAUGACGUUAAUUUGUUACGUACAUCCCUUGAAUAUAGCAAUUUAAAUAUGAUAUUUAAGCCAUAAAUGAUUUUAUUGAAUAAGUUUACAAAUAAUAAUAAAAAUUUAGUGAAAGACCAAAUAUCCCUUUAGACGAAAUUAAAUUGUACGAAAGUAAUAUUAUAAGGUAUCCUUAGGAAAUUCAAUCAUGUUUUAGUAAGAUAUAUAUUAUGUAGAUAAGAAACCUAAUGAGACUGUAGUCGUGGAUAUAUUAUCCAAUAUCUGAAAAACAAACUAAAACCGAACCAAAAAAACCGGAACUAAAACUGGAUAAAAAUAUACAAUAAUCUGAAUGGUUUCUACUUUUCUAAACCCAAAGAGCAAAAACCAAACUGAAAAUCAACAUAAUAGUAUUAAUUUAUAUAUAAUAUAAAUUUAAAAAAUAUCCAAAACCCCAAUUACAUGAAUUAUCUGGUUUUUUGUUUUUUAGGUUUAACUCAUGUUUUUUUGGUGAUUUUGGAAUUUUUGGCUUUAGACCCAAAUAAACACACCCAAAUAAACCCAAACUAUUUCUAAUUCAGUUCGCUUCGGGUUUUAUGAAAAAAUAAAAAACCCGACUCGAACUCAACAUCACCCGAAUCGAUCUGAUUCGAAAAGUUAUGAUUCAUAAAUGGGUCUUAACAUCCCAGCCCCAAUAACUUGAAAAUUGAAUUAACCUAAAUUUUGAAUGUCCAUCACUAUGAGAUGUUAAAAUAAAUUAUUCUCAGUUAAAUAUCUUAAACUCAAAUAUUAAAAUUUAGAUCAGAAAAAUUAGUAACUUUUAAAUCGAAAAUUUAACUAAAAUGUUAUCCCGCGCUUUCAAUAUCUAGUAUAUUGUUAUAAUUAGUAAACAACUAGGUCGAAUAAUCGAGCUAGGUGAUAGGCACUGAGUUACCGUCCGCUCACCGCGAAAAUGUCUACUAAAGUUAUAUUACAUUACAUUAAGCUAAAGCUAAGAUGAACAUCAUAAACCAAUGGUGUUUGAAGAUGUUCUUACCAGUAGUACGACCACUGGCGUAGAGAGACAAAACAGCUUGGAUAGCGACAUACAUAGCAGGUGUGUUGAACGUUUCAAACAUAAUCUGAGUCAUUUUCUCACGAUUAGCUUUAGGAUUGAGAGGAGCCUCAGUGAGAAGAACGGGAUGCUCUUCAGGUGCAACACGGAGCUCGUUGUAGAAAGUGUGAUGCCAAAUCUUCUCCAUGUCAUCCCAGUUGCUGACAAUACCAUGCUCAGUAGGAUACUUAAGAGUCAAGAUACCUCUCUUUGACUGAGCCUCGUCACCAACGUAAGCAUCUUUUUGUCCCAUACCAACCAUCACACCAGUGUGACGUGGUCUACCAACAAUGCUUGGGAACACAGCUCUUGGUGCAUCGUCUCCAGCGAAUCCAGCCUUUUAUAGAGGUUUGGACAUUACAUAUUAAAGAUUACAGACAGCAUUUUAUGAAACAAAUGAGUUAUAAAAAGUUGUCACACGUUUAUGAUUACCUUAACCAUUCCUGUUCCAUUGUCACAAACAAGGGGCUGAAUGUCCUCUCCAUCUGCCAUUUUCUAUUGAUUUCUGAAACUCUAUAUAUGUCAAUGAUUCAAAUUGUUAAUAGGAUUACAAACAAAACACAAUAACAUUCUUGAAAACAAUCGAAUGAACAAAAGAUCUCUGAUUCACUCACAUUGUUACAAAAUAUAAAAAAAGUGAGAAAAGUCUGGGAAUUCAUUUUUACCUGAUAGUUUGCGAGGAGAAGGAAAAUAGAACGAAGAGAAGAGUGAAUGAAGAAGGGAAUAUAGAGGAAGAGCCUCUCUGAGAAAAUAAGUUUUUUCUCAUGGUUGGUUGGAGAAGAUCUGAGCCGUCCAAUAUGGAAAAUGUGAACGAAGGAGGACCCCACGAGGAGUCAUGUUGACGGUGGAUACAGCUGUCUCAUAAAGAGUAACGACACUCCAUUUAAUUAUUUUAUUAAUCUUUCGAAAUUUGGUAACGUAACUGAAAGUAUCUACUCUGUAAAGUAUUAAAUGGGCUGGAAAAUGCUCCUUAAAGAGACAAAUCCAACCAAAAAUUAGUUAUCCUAUUAUAUAAAAGGAACUAAAUUCAAGGCUUUUGAGACUAUCCACCUCAGCCAAAAUAUUCUCAUCCAAACAGAAUUAGAAAUAGAUGUCAUUUAAAAGAUAAUUAACUAACAUACGACUUUUGAUAUUUCUAGAAAUUUCAAAUUUAUAACUGCUAAUUUAUUAAUAGAAUCAUAUAUCUAUAUUGAAUUAUAUUCUAUUUUUAAUCGUUAGACUUCAAGGGUAAAUAAAUUAUUAAUUUAUAAUAUAUAUAGUUUAUAACUUUAUAUUGUAGUUAUAAAUAAAGAGAAAAUAACCGGGAAGGGUGAAGAAGUUCAUGUAAAAUUAUGUAAUUAAAAUGGUAAAAUGGUGAGUAUGAUGAGGUGAAUCUAAGAAAAUUUGUUGUACAAAUUAUGGUGCUUUNNNNNNNNNNNNNNNNNNNNNNNNNNNNNNNNNNNNNNNNNNNNNNNNNNNNNNNNNNNNNNNNNNNNNNNNNNNNNNNNNNNNNNNNNNNNNNNNNNNNNNNNNNNNNNNNNNNNNNNNNNNNNNNNNNNNNNNNNNNNNNNNNNNNNNNNNNNNNNNNNNNNNNNNNNNNNNNNNNNNNNNNNNNNNNNNNNNNNNNNNNNNNNNNNNNNNNNNNNNNNNNNNNNNNNNNNNNNNNNNNNNNNNNNNNNNNNNNNNNNNNNNNNNNNNNNNNNNNNNNNNNNNNNNNNNNNNNNNNNNNNNNNNNNNNNNNNNNNNNNNNNNNNNNNNNNNNNNNNNNNNNNNNNNNNNNNNNNNNNNNNNNNNNNNNNNNNNNNNNNNNNNNNNNNNNNNNNNNNNNNNNNNNNNNNNNNNNNNNNNNNNNNNNNNNNNNNNNNNNNNNNNNNNNNNNNNNNNNNNNNNNNNNNNNNNNNNNNNNNNNNNNNNNNNNNNNNNNNNNNNNNNNNNNNNNNNNNNNNNNNNNNNNNNNNNNNNNNNNNNNNNNNNNNNNNNNNNNNNNNNNNNNNNNNNNNNNNNNNNNNNNNNNNNNNNNNNNNNNNNNNNNNAUCGCAUUUUUCUUGAAUGUGUUUCUUAAAUUCAUAAAAUGAUGCAGUGUACAGAAAAGCAGAAGAUAUGAACUACCACUCCGUUUGCUUGCAUGUCAUAUCAGAUUCCAUCCGCAGGUGUGAUAUUCUCUUUGGCUUUCUUUAUCUCAAGCAGAGUCGCAGAGAGCUAGCUAGAAAAAUGUUUCUCUUUGCAUGAAACUUGUAUACAUCCCACAUGACAUAUUCGUUGCUUCUGUCUUUUCAGUGCAGGUCUGAUACUGGCAUCCUGGCUCCUCUCUCUCGGGUAAUGCUCGCUUCCUUUAAAAGGAACAAAAUGAAUAAAAAUGUCUUAGUACCUGACCUCUUACAUUUUCCAUUUUUCUCCUCCGGUCUUUGGAUUUUUCAGGGUUGAAAAUGCAGAGGUCCUAUGUUUGGGAUUGGUAUCAGUUACAGUGUUUAUGCUUGUUAUGCCACUCUUCAAAGCCACUGGUGGUGUCUUGCUUCAGAUGGCACCUCCAAACAUUCCUUCUUCCGCAUUAAGCAAAUGCUUGCGUCAGGUUCGCUCUUUUCCAUAAAAUGUUUCCUGAACGUGUACAUAUUUCCUAUAUAUAGAGAGAUCGAUCAACCUGGGUUUCUCUUCAACUAUCUUUAUUUACAGAUUACUUCUCGAGAGGACGUCAUAGAGGUUUUACAGGCACGUUUCUGGGAGGUUGUGCCCGGCCACACUGUUGGCUCACUCAGAAUCCAGGUACUAGCUUCCUUACUGUUUUCAUAUCGGUUUAAACACGAAUCCAUAAUUAGAAUUGUACUGAUUUUGAGCUCUGGUUAUUUGGGUAUAGGUGAAGAGCGGGAUAGAUGAAAGGCCUUUACUGCAAUAUGUGUAUGAUGUAUACCAUGAUUUGGGUGUACAAGACUUGACGCUGCAAACAGAUUACAGCUGAGCUGCAUCUACUUCUAUGUUUUCAAAUACUGAGGACUUUGGAUGUAUACUAGUAGAGAUUAUGGUUCUAUAAGAAGAUUAACACUUGGUUUCAAGCUUGCGAGUUUCUUGUUACACUUGUUUAGUUUUUUCUUUUCUCUUUUAAUUCCUUUUCCCAUUUGUCUUUUGAACCACACACACAAGGACCACAAUCUUUGUAAACUCUUUUAGCAUUUCAAGUUUGUGCGUCUUUUGGCUCAAAUUCUCCUUUUUAAUCUUUUUUCAUGUCAAAAAUCAUCUGCAAAAUGUAAAAUCAAAACGGUAGCACGUAAAAUUGUCAGCUGAAACGAGAUUUUAUUGUUCUUCUUGUUUACACAAAAAAACAAAACUAAGUGGAGGAAUCAAAGAUCAUAUUGUGCUCCUCAACCUACACAACCUAAUAUUCUGUAAGUUAUGGGGACAGUACAAGCAUCUUAAAAAGCAAAUUCAUCCGUCCAUGUCUUAUAUUAUUCUUUGCUUACCCCCGUUUGCUUCGUUGGUCAUUGUAAAUUUAACAAAGUUUACUAAACGAUACAAAAGUUGGUAAACAUAUUAAAAAAUGAUACAAAAUUUAACAUAGUUAACCAUUUAUAUUGGUAAACAUAUUAAAAAACGAAGCAAACGGGGGUAUGAAUAAAGUCGACAAAGGAAAUUUUAUUAAUGGAACUUGAAAAGAUAUUUUGGAUUUAACUGAACUACAAAAACACUAGAUAUAUAUAUAUGAAAAGUGUCUCAAUUAUUUCCCGUAACGAGUCAACAAUUUCAAAGUAUACAAUACCACAUAUGAUAUGAUCCAUUAUAUAAUCCAUGAUUGCAGUUUGUGGACUCUAAGCUAGAAAAAUGUAUAUAAUAAUAUGGUAUAUCAUAUUUUAAUUAAGGCACUACUUGUGGUCUGCUUUAUUGUUAACUACAACCGGUGUCGUGCGAAGGGUUUUAGGGGCCUAAGGCAAGUUUUAAAACCACGUGUAGGGAUCUGCACCUUUCACGCGUCACGCGGCGUCACCGCCUCAACUUGACCGCUCCGCCAGAAAGCCGCCGGAAUAAACACCAUCGUCAUCCUCGUUCGUCGGAGCUCAGAAACCGGUAAGCCUCCAACGAACCCAUAGCCUCUCUUCACCGCCAUGUCAUCACGCCUGAGGGAUCCAUCGAAUCUCGAGAUCUCCUCCGACUUUACAUACUUCAAACCCUAGACACGCGAACGAGGAACCCUCUCUUUCUUUCCUUGAGAGUCGUCACCUCGCCGGAGAGCUUCAUCUUCUACCAGGUUCUCAACCACAGUGACCCAACCUCACCUUUGACGACAACCACACCAGACUUGAUACAAAUCGAACCUAAAAAACCUUUACCCAAAGAAACCCGGGUUCCUAAGCGGCAGCGCGGAGCUUUGCUAGCCUCCGCUCUCCGUAACCAGAAGCCGGCGAAGGCGAAUCUAACGGAGACUCCCUUCCCGGAAGCUAGAGCCGGCGACGGUGGAUCUGCGGAAGCCUCCACCUCCCGGAAAAACACCACCUCUGAAUAUGUAAACCGCUCUCUCUCUCCACCGAGGACCUCCCAACAAACGCGUCGUUACUCCAACAGCGUCCCACCGUUAAAGAAGGAGCCGGUAUCAGAGCUCGGACAAAGCGAACGUUACCAGGACGGCGAAGAAAGGACGAAAGGGAACCACUCUGACUAACUAAAAAGGACUCCGGCGCCGGCACGGACGCUCACGCGCCGACCGACCGCCGGAACCCAAAGCAGAUCUAACUUCUCUCUCUGUUCUCUCUCUCUAAAGGAUAAAUAUAGGGCUUAGUUACUUGAAUGUGAUAUGUUAACCCUACUAAUUUUAAUAAAGUUUAUUUAUCAAGAGUAUUAUACUGUAUUUUUGUUGUUACGUAACAAGGAGGCGAGAGCCAAUCAAGCCCAAUAAGGCGUUUAAUGCAGUCAACGCUUCUUGACUUGAGGCUCUUACAUGGGCUUAGAGUAGUGGCCCAUUAAGGUGAUUCUAGUAGACGCAGUGUACUUUUAAGACUCGUUGAAUUACACAUUUGAGGAGCAAAGAGAAAGCUAAGUAUGGAGAGAUCCGUUUCCUUCGAUCUUCGCGGCGAUAACGAACUCCCGAAUGAUCGGAGCAGCGACGUCGGAUACGCCGCCAAUGAUCGGAGGCUUGCUUACUCCCGCUCCUUUCACCACUCCCACGGCCCGCGAACGCCCGCAGCUAAGCCUUUUCUCGAUAGGACGGUCUCCACCAUCGAUAUGCCGCCGGAGAUAUACUCUGUCGACGGGGAUGAUGUUUUCUUCGGGGAAGGGAAAGCGGCGGCGGCGAUUGGGAAGGUGUCGGUUUUGCGUAUGGUUUUGGUGGUUUUUGGGGUGCUGAGAAAUGGAAAUCGGCAGAUGAAGAGAUUGUUUCUGUUGAUUUCGCUUAACGUGGCGUACUCUACCACAGAGCUGUUGAUUGGGCUAUUGACUGGGCGUGUAGGUACGAUUUGGUUGUUGCUUGGUUUUAGUUCUUGAUAACUUUGUUAGAGGGAGAGAGUUGGAUUUGUUGGAGAAAUAAGACUCCUGGUCGAUGUGAGCUUCACAUCCUUACUUCGGGUAGUGACUAGAGAUUUAGAUGAAACAAAACAGCUAAAGUUGAUUUUUUUUUUGGUUAAUGUAAUCUUUUAAAAUGUGGAACUAAACCGCACGGAUAGUAGAUCCUAUGCGUAUGUAGAGACCUUUUGGUUAUGGAGUUUUAAUUUUUAAGAUAUUGUCUUCUGUUGCAGCUGAGGUUUUGUAAAUAUCAAAAUUGGUUUGAGAUUUUGUUUAGAUUCCCAUGUUUACUGUUGUUGUUUACUUGCUCUCUUUUUUGACGUUUGAUGUUUGAUGUGACUCUUGCAGGUUUGGUUUCUGAUGCAUUCCAUUUGACAUUUGGAUGUGGUCUCCUGACGUUUUCUUUAUUUGCAAUGGCGACUUCAAGGAAGAAGCCUGAUCAUGCUUACUCAUACGGGUGAGAAAAUUUUCAAAUUUGAUCCGAUUAGUUGGUGCUUGUAUUUGCUGGAGAUAUAUGUUUGGAAUGCAUGGUUUGUGGUACUUUACGGUUGAUUUCACACUUUCUUUUCUUUCUCUGGAACAUUCCUAAAGUAGAUCCGCUGUUGUUUUCAUAGGAUCCAGUUUUUAUAAUUACUAAAUAUGAAACCUUUUCUGUUUGCUUCUUUGCUGCUGAUACUGACAUUGCAUGAUGGUGAAUCAGUUGUGACUUAGUAAUCGUUGGCUUUUCUUCCAGGUACAAAAGACUUGAAGUUCUUUCUGCUUUCACUAAUGCUGUAAGUAUGUUCUUAAAGUUUGUUGGAUGUCAUUUCCGGUUUUAAUUUGAGGGUCUAAUGGCUGAUGUCCCAUGCAAUAAAACUGGCUUAAUAUCUUUCAGAAAAUAGUGUCGAUAGCUAAGCUCAGUGUUUGCACACUUUCCUUUACUGUUGUUGAUAGAAUAGAAUAGUCUUACAGCUCGUUUAAAAUGUUGAUUAUCUUUUCAUUUUGCCUUCACUUUCUUAUUCAUUUUAUCUUUUGGGUUAACACAUUGAUAUGUUCAGUAUUGACAUAUGUGUAGACAGCUGUUUCUUAUGUUCAUGUCGUUCUCCUUAGCUGUGGAAGCUCUUCAUGCAUUUGUUCAAGAUGAAUCAGAGCACAAGUAAGUUUCUUUCCACAAGUGACAUGCCUAAGAGCUUGUAGUUAUUUCUCUAGCACUUACUAAGUUUACACUAAGUUCUUUGCAUUAAUAUGAUGUAUUGAAAUCGACUUCAUGCAGGCAUUAUCUUAUCGUAUCAGCGGUAACAAAUCUGCUGGUGAACCUACUUGGUGUUUGGUUCUUCCGGAAUUAUGCUCGUAUGAAUAUUGGUAUGUAUUCUCUGUUUUAUAAUUAUGCUUAAGUUCUGGUUAGACUUGAAUGAACUAAUACCGAUACUGGUGCUUUAUAUGGUAUAGCCUUGUUUGGCGGCUUUGCUAUAUUUCAUUUGUAAAAACUGGCCACCCCUGUCAAUGCAAAACCACAAAGAAGCAAGGGUUUCUGGUUAAGAUAGAAUCAGUAGGAAGAUUGGUUAAAAUAGAGAGACAGCAUGAUAGCAACUGAUCUGGCCAAGAAUUGUUCCCUUCGUACAUAUCGCAUUUUUCUUGAAUGUGUUUCUUAAAUUCAUAAAAUGAUGCAGUGUACAGAAAAGCAGAAGAUAUGAACUACCACUCCGUUUGCUUGCAUGUCAUAUCAGAUUCCAUCCGCAGGUGUGAUAUUCUCUUUGGCUUUCUUUAUCUCAAGCAGAGUCGCAGAGAGCUAGCUAGAAAAAUGUUUCUCUUUGCAUGAAACUUGUAUACAUCCCACAUGACAUAUUCGUUGCUUCUGUCUUUUCAGUGCAGGUCUGAUACUGGCAUCCUGGCUCCUCUCUCUCGGGUAAUGCUCGCUUCCUUUAAAAGGAACAAAAUGAAUAAAAAUGUCUUAGUACCUGACCUCUUACAUUUUCCAUUUUUCUCCUCCGGUCUUUGGAUUUUUCAGGGUUGAAAAUGCAGAGGUCCUAUGUUUGGGAUUGGUAUCAGUUACAGUGUUUAUGCUUGUUAUGCCACUCUUCAAAGCCACUGGUGGUGUCUUGCUUCAGAUGGCACCUCCAAACAUUCCUUCUUCCGCAUUAAGUAAAUGCUUGCGUCAGGUUCGCUCUGUUCCAUAAAGUGUUUCCUGAACGUGUACAUAUAGAUCGAUCAACCUGGGUUUCUCUUCAACUAUCUUUAUUUACAGAUUACUUCUCGAGAGGAUGUCAUAGAGGUUUUACAGGCACGUUUCUGGGAGGUUGUGCCCGGUCACACUGUUGGCUCACUCAGAAUCCAGGUACUAGCUUCCUUACUGUUUUCAUAUCGGUUAAAACACGAAUCCAUAAUAAGAAUUGUACUGAUUUUGAGCUGGUUAUUUGUGUUUAGGUGAAGAGCGGGAUAGAUGAAAGGCCUUUACUGCAAUAUGUGUAUGAUGUAUACCAUGAUUUGGGUGUACAAGACUUGACGCUGCAAACAGACUACAGCUGAGCUGCAUCUACUUCUAUGUUUUCAAAUACUGAGGACUUUGGAUGUAUACUAGUAGAGAUUAUGGUUCUAUAAGAAGAUAGCACUUGGUUUCAAGCUUGCGAGUUUCUUGUUACAUUUGUUUAGUUUUAUUUUUUUUAAUUCCUUUUCCCAUUCGUCUUUUGAACCACACACACAAGGACCACAAUCUUUGUAAACUCUUUUAGUCUUUCAAGUUUGUGCGUCUUUUUGGCUCAAAUUCUCCUUUUUAAUCCUUUUUCAUGUAAAAAAAUCAUCUGCAAAAUGUAAAAUCAAAACGGUAGCACGUAAAAUUGUCAGCUGAAACAAGAUUUUAUUGUUCUUCUUGUUUACACAGAAAAAACUAAGUGGAGGAAUCAAAGAUCAUAUUGUGCUCCUCAACCUACACAGCCUAAUAUUCUGCAAGUUAUGGGGACAGUACAAGCAUCUUAAAAAGCAAAUUCAUCCGUCCAUGUCUAUGUUAUUCUUUGCUUACCCCCGUUUGCUUCGUUGAUCAUUGUAAAUUUAACAUAGUUUACUAAACGAUACAAAAAUUUGUAAACAUAAAAAAAAUGAUACAAAAAUUUAAUAUAGUUUACUAAUUGACUACGUGCACAUGACAAAGGAAUUUUUAUUAAUGGAACUUGAAAAUAUAUUUUGGAUUUAACUGAACUACAAAAACGCAAGAUAUAUAUGAAAAGUAUCUCAAUUAUUUCCCGUAACGAGUCAACAAUUUCAAAGUAUACAAUACCCACAUAUGAUACGAUCCAUUAUAUAAUCCAUGAUUGCGUUUUUUGGACUCUAAGCUAGAAAAAUGUAUAUUAAUAAUAUGGUAUAUCAUAUUUAAUUAAGGCACUACUUGUGUGGUCUGCUUUAUUGUUAGUUAAACGUAUAAAAUAGAAUAAUAAACAAGAACCAAUUGUCCAAAAAGACACUUUUAUUUGAAAAAAUACUAUUUUUAAUGUUAUUGUUUGGAUGAUUCAAAUCAAGAGACGACCAGAGAAUAUGAGCAUGAAUCAUCAAACCAUUAACUCUUAACCUUUCCCCUUAAAAAAAAUUCCCAGUUGAUAAGAUAGAAUCAAAAGCAGAAAAAAGGUAGAGUUAAACAAUAUAAUAACUAAAAAACAAAGAAGAUUGUAAGAUAAAGCUGAUGAAGUUCACAUUACAAGAAGAGAAUCUGCUUAUUACAAAAGAGAGAGAUAUAAGAGAAUACACUGCUAAGUCUCUGGUUUCUUCUUGAUAACACUUUCACUAUGUACAGAUUCAGCAACACAGUGAUUGGAGUCUUAAACCUCCUCAGCUUACUAGCUUCAAUACCAAUCAUAGGAGCCGCUCUAUGGAAGGCAAGAAGCAGCACAACUUGCGAAAACUUCCUCCAGACUCCUCUACUCGUUAUAGGUUUCAUCAUACUCUUAGUAUCUCUCGCCGGAUUCAUAGGAGCCUGUUUCAACGUGGCAUGGGCUCUUUGGGUUUACUUAGUGGUCAUGAUCUUCCUCAUCGCGACUCUUAUGGGUCUAACUCUGUUUGGUCUGGUGGUGACGAGCCAAGGAGGCGGUGUGGAAGUACCAGGGAGGGUUUAUAAAGAGUAUAGGCUUGGUGAUUAUCAUCCAUGGUUGAGAGAGAGAGUUAGAGAUCCUCAGUAUUGGAUCUCUAUAAGAAGCUGUAUCUUGAGUUCCAAGACUUGUGCUAAGAUUGAAUCUUGGACUACACUUGAUUAUUUCCAAAGAGACAUGACUUCUGUUCAGGUAUCAUCCUCAGUGCCUAGAGCCAUGUUAAAAAAAAAUUAACCGUAGAUUUUUAUAUAUGUCUAAAGUUUUUAUUGAUUUAUAAGUAUUAAUAACUCCAGUUAUAUAUGUUUUUUUUUUUGAAAUUAUAAGUAUUAAUUUAUAAAUAUAUUUGAAAAUUUAAAUUUUACUCCAAUUUAUAUAUAUUUUAAAAAAAAUCAAACCAUUUUCAAUCUUUCCAUUUACACAUGCUAAAAGACUGCCAUGAUCCUCAUUUAUAUUUUCUCAUAUUCAUUGCCCUAUCGUAUAAGCUAGCAUCUUCAUCAACUUUGUAUGCGUGUGUUUGAUUUAUAGUCGGGAUGUUGUAAGCCACCAACGGCGUGCGCGUACGAGACCGGAGUAAUAGUAGGAGGAGAAGAUUGCUAUAGAUGGAACAAUGGUAUUGAAACGUUAUGCUACGAGUGUGAUGCUUGUAAAGCUGGUGUUCUUGAAGAGAUCCGUCUUGACUGGAGAAAGUUAUCGGUUGUCAACAUUCUAGUCCUAGUCCUCCUCAUCACAGUCUACGCUGCAGGUUGCUGCGCUUUCCAUAACACUCACCACGCUGCUCAUCCUUAUCACCCAUCUGAUGAUAACCGCAUGACCAAAGUCCGUCCUCGUUGGGACUAUUACUGGUACGUAUACUACAUUGACUUGAUGAUCUCAGAAUGCAAGAUUUGGCACAAAAUUAUAUUAAAAUUCAUUUUUUAAAAUAAUUUUUUAUAUAUUUUUUAUAUUAUAUAAAAUUAUAUAAAAGUUCACUAAUGUUUCUAGCAAUUUUGUGUUUACAGGUGGAGAUGGUGGCAUGAAAAGAAAGAACAGCUUUACUGAGAGCCUCGUAGUAAUUUGUUUUUCUUCUUCUUUUCAUCAUUUUUUUCUAUUUACCAACUUGAGAUUAAGAAAACACAAAGAUAAGAAGUGUUGAUGUACUUCUGUUUUUUUUUUAAAUCAUCAAAGAAACAUACAUGGAAGAUGAAUAUAGACUAUGAAAUAUGCUUUUCAUAUAUCUAAAACAUCUUUGAUGAUCUCACGAGUAAACAAAAGAAAAAAAAAAUUUAGUGUAAAUACUAUACCCAGCAACUUGAUUGUGAAUCAUCCAGUCAUCAACAAUGAAAUAGUUGAUUUAUUAUAUUCAUGCGUGAGUUGCAAGGAAAGGUACUACCUGGCUACCUGCUCACCAUUGUUUCACUAAAAAUGUAUAAACGAUUUGACGCUUGUAAGAAACAAAGAUGUGCAAUACAUGUCUGAGACGCGCACAAGCAAAGAUCAAAACAGAAGAUCUGAGUUUUCCCUUUAUAUUACCAACAAAGUUACGGACCCGCUUAGCUGCUCUUGUGUCACUGAGCAAGUGGAUUUCUUGAAUAAGAGAAACUAGUCCAACAGGCUAAUUCAAAAUAGAUUAUACUCAACCACCUGAUAAAAAGAAGCAGUCAUCUAAAAACUUGCGAGGAUGAGUAAUGAUUAGCUCACAUGGAAGCUAACCAUUCAGCAGUUGACUGGUACAAAGGGAUUUGGUUUCCUUAUCACACCCCGAAUACUCCUUCACAGUAUGGAUGACUAUCCAAAAAAGAGUCCCAAGAGGCCAUAGGAUAUGAACCCAUUGAGGUCUGUUGUCAAAGUUGUUGAUAAGAAGGGCCUAAAGGUAGAAUUUUUUUUCUUUUUUUUUGUCAAAUGUUUCUUUCCUUUAGAAAGGCCCAAUGAACAUUACAAGAGAAGCAACAGGCUUGAAACUCAUCAUACAACUCGACAUAAAAUAAAUUUUAUUAGGCCUAAUAGUGCAUGUGUCUUCAUCACGGGAAAGACGUGACACGCGCCCUCAUCCUCCUUUGCAUGAGUCUUUAAACUUCUGGAUCUGACAUGCAUCUGUCGCACCAACGCAUGGGAUGAGAGGAAGUCGGUACACCUCGCCGGCGGCAGAGACUGCUCAUGGUCACCGAACAAGCUUUGAACUUCUCGAUCUGCUAUCUUUCAUCCGGCUGUCGCUUCAAUGAGAGCCACCAUCAACUUCAUUGGGUAAUAACUCUGGGAUUACUCAAUAAAAUUAAAGAUCUUUAUCGGACCAUCUCCGAGAGGAUGCCGAUUCAUCUAAAUCUUCAUCGAGAUUACUCUAACAUCACCUCCACCUAAGAGCCUAUUCAUCGGCUUCAUCUUUUAAAGAGUGAAAAUUGACUCCCUUAAGAAAAGAGUACAUGCGAAUCCAAUAGAGAAGAAGAAAACUCCAUUAAAGCGAACGGGAUUUAAAGAGCAACUGUGAAAGAGGAGACGGGAUGAGUCAGUUCUACUAGUUAGAACCUUGAGGGCCAAUUGUCAUGCUUGCGGGUUCGACGCCAGCCGGAGCCGAACUGCUCAUCCAUGUCACGAAGCGGGUACUGGACCUUCGGGCUCAGGACAUACCCUCCCGGGUGAAGCCGACCCGCUGCCUGACCGGACCCAGGGAAUGACCCGCGAAACUGGGAACCCUGGAUUACCAAAAAAAAAAAAAACUGUGAAAGAGGAGAAGCAUACAUAAAAGAUCAAUCUCAAUCGAAGAAUAACAGAACACAAUCAUGAAGUUUUGCUUCAAUUAAGAUUGAAUACACAACAAAAAUUUGCCACGGUUUAUCGGCACCGCGAAUAACAUAAUCAUAACAUAAUCGCCACUGCGAAGAGAAGAAAUAUAAUACAAAGCAAAAACAAAAACAAAAAGAUUAUGGUGACCGGCUGUAAAGAGCCCACUGGCCACAUGAGCAAAUCUAUUUGGUCGGAAGCUUUUUUAGAAAGAAGUUAGAGAAAAUACUAGAGAGAGGCUUUUUUGGUAGAAUGAAAAUUAUUAUAUUACAAAACUUGGUGAAUAAGAAGAAUUCUUCAUUUGCUUCUUCUCCCCAUGCUUAUUACGCAUAAAGUUGGUGUUACAAGUCCAAAGCACUAAGAUUAAGAACAAAUAUUUAUUUAUGGUACUUAAUCCAGACUAGAUUAUACCUUUUCAUUUUUUUACUAAAUAUAUAAGAAAAUAUAUGGAAACAAAAAAACAUGGAAUCGUAAUUCACACGAGCAUGAACAAAAACAAAACCAUUUCUCUCUCCUUAUUGAACAGUAACAUUAUUAAAAUGAUUAGAAAGAAAUAAAGAAAUACCCAAUUGAUUACUUUAUCUUAUUAUCUCCAGUUUGGUUUUCACGAUUCUGGUUAGUUAACUAUUUUAUGUUUCCACCUCCGAACAUUUGAAUUGUUCGAUACCACCUAAUUUACACUUAAACCAUCUCUUAAAUUUUAACUAAAAAAGUUAAGAACAUGCUCUUAAAUAAGAUAUUAAAGAACCGGUUCUUAGCUUUUUUUAGUUAUAAAUUAAGAGUUAGUUUCUUAUAUUCCGCUAAGAACCUCAUCCUAAGAACCCUCCAUUAAUCUUGCUCUUAAACUCUCUUGUCAUUUUCUUGUUGUCUAUUCCACUUUUAGACUAUUCCUUAUUUCGUUCAGGUUCACAUGUUAUUUUCAGUAAUAAUAUAGUUUGUACCCAGAUUCAAUUUUUUAGUUAUGGUGUGCCAAGACAAUUAUGCGGAUGAUUAAUUCGUAGAAAUAUAAUAUCACUUGACGACAAUAUUUUCGCAAAUUCAAAUUCAGGUAAAUCAUUAAAUAAAAAUAAAAAUAAUUAGCUUCAUGUUAUAAAUCAAUUAGUGGAUGUCCAUAACCGACCCGGUCCAUAACCGGUCCAUACAACUAGAGAGAGAGUUGGCCACGACUUGGAGAGAGAGUGAGAGAGAGUCGGCCAUGACAUGAAGAGAGAGAGAGGGAGGCGGCUUGGAGAAAAGGAAACCAUCUUUCCUUUUCCUUGUAAUUGUUAUCUUUCCAUUAUUAUAUAUUAGUAGUUUUCCUAAUCCUAGUGGGUUUAGGUUUUGGAUACUUUCCUUUUUACUUAUCUUGUAAUCCCCUAUGUAAAGGAACACUUAUUCAUUAAUGAAACAUAGAAAUAUUCAUACCUAAAACCUUCGUUUUACAAUACGUUAUCAACACGAUUGUUCUCUGCAAUCUAAGCUAAAAUCGCCAACCCCUUAAACCCUAACCUAGCCGGCG